rnacentral:rRNA from 1 species
AUGGAUGAACACAAGAAUUUGCUACGCUCCAAACACCCGGAGCGGUCUGAUGACUGGAUUACACGUGAACAAACCAGGAGUUUCGCCAGCUGGUUGCAGACACGUACCAUGCAUGACGCCUCUAUUGAAGAUGACCUGUACUUGCUGUCCCAGUUACCAUCUUCGAAUAUAAUGACUUUCAAAGGGUACGACAUAAAUGGUAAUACAUUUUACACGAUCGCCCAAGAUAAGAAGAGCACCAACCAAAACAGUGGUGUCCACUUUGAUGCAGAAACCAAGACAGGAAAGGAAACAUAUUAUGGUUAUAUACAGGACAUAUGGGAACUUGACUAUCGACGUGGUUUGAAGGUCCCUUUGUUUCGGUGCAAAUGGGUCAAUAUGACACGAGGCGGGGUAACGAAAGACCCGCAGUACGGAAUGAGAACAGUGGAUCUCAAUAAUCUUGCGUAUGCAGACGAACCAUUCGUCCUAGCUAAUGAUGUGGCACAUGUUUUCUAUGUGAAGGACAUGUCUACCAAGCCGAGAAAAAGAAAAGAUAAGGAAGUGAAUGCAUCGUACGAUGAGCCAAAGUGUCACAUAGUUCUUUCUGGGAUGAGAAACAUUGUGGGAGUGGAUGAAGAGACAGACAUGUCAGGAAAUUAUGAAAUGUUUGAUGAAAUUGCUCCAUUCACAGUGAAUAUUGACCCGAGCAUCCUGUUAAGUGAUGAAGAUUUUCCAUGA